rnacentral:rRNA from 1 species
GAUGAACGCUGGCGGCGUGCCUAAUACAUGCAAGUCGAGCGAACAUACGAGGAGCUUUCUCCUCUGACGUUAGCGGCGGACGGGUGAGUAACAUGCGGAUAACCUACCUCUGAGACUGGGAUAACUUCGGGAAACCUGAGCUAAGACCAGAAAAUAUAUUUAACCUCAUGGUUCAAUAGUGAAAGACGGUGUUUCUGUCACUCAUACAUGUAUUCGCGCCGCUUUAGCUAGUAGGUCAGGUAACGGCUUACCAAGGCAACGGUGCGUAGCCGACCUGAGAGGGUGAUCGGCCACACUGGAACUGAGACACGGUCCAGACUCCUCUGGGAGGCAGCGGAAGGGAAUGUUCCGCAAUGGACGGAAGCCUGACGGAACAAAGCCGCGUGGGGUAUGAAGGUCUUCGGAUCGUAGAACUCUGUUAUUAGGGAACAACAAAUGUGUAAGUAACUAUGCACAUCUUGACGGUACCUAAUCAGAAAGCCUCGGCUAACUACGUG